rnacentral:tRNA from 1 species
GUAGUGAUUAUUCAAUGACAGACUUCUUGCCUCCCAUGCAGGAGGCCCAGGUUUGAUUCCUGGCCACUGCA